rnacentral:rRNA from 1 species
UCGCCUGCACGAAGUCGGAAUUGCUAGUAAUCGCGAAUCAGAAUGUCGCGGUGAAUACGUUCCCGGGCCUUGUACACACCGCCCGUCACACCAUGAGAGUCGAUAACACCCGAAGCCUGUGAGCUAACCGUAAGGAGGCAGCAGUCGAAGGUGGGGUUGAUGAUUGGGGUGAAGUCGUAACAAGGUAGC